rnacentral:rRNA from 1 species
UACGGAGGGUGCGAGCGUUGUCCGGAAUCACUGGGCGUAAAGGGCGCGUAGGCGGCGCGGGGAGUCAACGGUGAAAGCUCGGCGCUCAACGCCGAGUCGGCCGUCGAUACUCCCGUGCUCGAGCACUGUAGAGGCAGGUGGAAUUCCGGGUGUAGCGGUGGAAUGCGUAGAUAUCAGGAGGAACACCUGUGGCGAAAGCGGCUCACUGGACCAUAACUGACGCUGAUGCACGAAAGCUAGGGGAGCAAACAGG